rnacentral:rRNA from 1 species
CCUACGGGAGGCAGCAGUGGGGAAUAUUGGACAAUGGGGGGAACCCUGAUCCAGCCAUGCCGCGUGUGUGAAGAAGGCCCUCGGGUUGUAAAGCACUUUCAGUGAGGAAGAACGCCUGGUGGUUAAUACCCAUCAGGAAAGACAUCACUCACAGAAGAAGCACCGGCUAACUCCGUGCCAGCAGCCGCGGUAAUACGGAGGGUGCGAGCGUUAAUCGGAAUUACUGGGCGUAAAGCGCGUGUAGGUGGCUUGAUAAGCCGGUUGUGAAAGCCCCGGGCUCAACCUGGGAACGGCAUCCGGAACUGUCAAGCUAGAGUGCAGGAGAGGAAGGUAGAAUUCCCGGUGUAGCGGUGAAAUGCGUAGAGAUCGGGAGGAAUACCAGUGGCGAAGGCGGCCUUCUGGACUGACACUGACACUGAGGUGCGAAAGCGUGGGUAGCAAACAGGAUUAGAUACCCCUGUAGUC